rnacentral:lncRNA from 1 species
AUGGCCGACAGCCAGACUGGGUCAAAGUGGCAGCCUGCCGCGCUGCUCAGACCUGGGGGACCCACCCCCACUCAGGCGGCGGACCACCAGAGUGGGUCAAAGUGGCAACCCGCAGCGCAGCUCAGCCCUGGGCGCCCCACCUUGUCUCAGGCGGCAGACCGCCAGUGUGGGUCAAAGUGGCAGCCCGCCGCGCUGCUCAGCCCUGGGGUCCCUCACCCCACUCAUGCGGCCGACAGCCAGAGUGGGUCAAAGUGGCAACCCGCCGCGCAGCUCAGCCCUGGGGGACACAACCUGACUCAGGUUGCAGACCGCCAGACUGGGUCAAAGUGGCAGCCCGCCGCGCUGCUCAGCCCUGGUGGCCCUCCACCCCCCCGACUAUGGGGGCCGAACGCCAGAGUUGGUCAAAGUGGCAGUCCACAGCACUGCUCAGGACUGGGGACCCUCCCACCCCACUUAGGCGGCCGAUCGCCAGAGUGGGUCAAAGCGGCAGUCCGCCGCGCUGCUCAGCCCUGGGGCCCUCCUCCCACUCCGGUGGCCGACCGCCGGAGUGGGUCAAAGUGGCAGCCCGCAGCGCUGCUCAGUCCUGGGGGCGCGCCACCUAGUCUGGCUGCCGAUCGCCACAGUGGCUCAUAUUGGCAGCCCGCUGCGCAGCUCAGCAGUGGCUGCCUGACCCUGACUGAGGUGGCAGACCGUCAUAGUGGGUCAAAGUGGCAGCUCGACGCGCAGCUCAGUCCGGGCCGGCCCCCUCUACUCAGGCGGCCGACAGACAGACUGGGUCCAAUUGGCAGCCCGCCGCACUGCUCAGCCCUGGAAGCGCCCCCCCCACCCCCCGACUCAGGCUGCCGACCACCAGAGUGGGAAAAAGUGGCAGCCCGCCGCGCUGCUCAGCCCUGGGGGCGCCCCACCUAGUCUGGCUGCCGAUCGCCAGUGUGGGUCAAAGUGGCAGCCCGCCGCGCAGCUCAGCCCAGGGGACACAACCUGACUCAGGUUGCAGACCGCCAGAGUGGGUCAAAGUGGCAGCCCGCCGCGCUGCUCAGCCCUGGUGGCCACACCCCACUCAGGCGGCCCACCGCCAGAGUGGGUCAAAGUGUCAGCCCACCGUGCUGCUCAGCCCUGGGAUCCCUCACCCCACUCAGGCGGCCCACCGCCAGAGUGGGUCAAAGUGUUAGCACGCAUUGCUGCUCAGCCCCUGGGGACCUCCCCCACACUCAGGUGCCCAACCAGCAGAGUGGGACAAAGUGGCAGCCCACAGCGCUGCUCAGCCCUGGGGGCCCUCCCCCCACUCAGGCGGCCGACCGCCAGAGUGGGUCAAAGUGGCAGCCCGCCGGGCUGCUCAGCCCUGGGGGCCCUCUCCCCACUCAGGAGUCUGACCGCCAGAGUGGGUCAAAGUGGCAGCCCCACCCCCACUCAGGCGGCCGACAGCCAGAGAGGGUCAAAGAGGGAGCCCGCCGCGCUGCUCAGCCCCCCCAACAGUCAGGCGGGCGACGGCCAGAGUGGGUCAAAGUGGCAGUCCGCCACGAUGCUCAUCCCUGGGGGCCCUUUCCCCACCCAAGCGGCCGACCGCCAGAGUGGGUCUAAGUGGCAGCCCGCUGCGCUGCUCAGCCCUGGGGCCCCUCCCUCCCACUAAGGCGCCCCACCGCCAGAGUGGGUCAGAGUGGCAGCCCGCCGCGCUGCUCAGCCCUGGGGGCCCCACCCCCACUCAGGCGGCAAUCCGCCAGAGUGGGUCAAAGUGGCAGCCCUCCGAGGUGCUGAGCAUUGGCGGGCCCGACCCCCACUCAAGCGGCCCAUAGACAGAGUGGGAAAAAGUGGCAGCCCGCCGCGCUGCUCACCCCUGGCGGCCACCGCCAACUCAGGUGGCCCACCGCCAGAGUGGUCAAACUGGCAGCCUGCCGCGCUGCUCAGCACUGGG